rnacentral:tRNA from 1 species
GGAUACGUGCCUGAACUUAAAGGAUUACCUUGAUAGGGUAAAUCAUAGAGGCUAAUAACCCUCUCGUCUCCU